CCAAAUAUCCUACAAAAUACUUGAACAGUUAUUAUGAAUUUGUAUCUGCUUCCAUCACAGGUGCAGACAAAGAAGCUAUUGUACUUUAAAAUGGGAAUGUAUUAAAUUUACGGACAAUCGACUAUGUGAGAAUAUUCGCCUAGAAUCUAUCCAGGAUAAAGAAUAGAUUUUAAUUUAAUAGAAGUUUCGCUUUGUGUGGGGAUCUGAAAGAUAGACUCAUGAAUGGAGGCGAAGGAGAUUUAUACCGAGAUUCAGUCUCGGAUGAAGGAAUAUGAACAUACUGCAAAGGAUUAAAAUACUUUUCGAUUUAACACGAACUGAAAAACUGCUGUAAAACCAUUAUAUUACAAGCAAAAACUGGUGGGAUAAGUAAAUUUUUAAUUUAAAAGAAAUUUAGUUGGCCUA